GUUUGCACUUGUCGGGGAAGGGUGAGAACCUUCGAUUAAGGUUCGACUCGAGCGAAAGCGAGAGAACGUUGCCAACGGCAACGGCCCGUAGGGUGAGGAGCGAAGCGACGAAUAAUCCUUCCCCCAC
rnacentral:sRNA from 1 species